UAUUCCUGUAGUUUUUUUUUUCGAUAUUUGUUAAGUUAGUUUGACGACUUCCUCUAACUUUGCUCCUUGAGAGGAGCCCAGGUAAAGUCCGCUUGAUAGGUGUAGUAGCAAAGCCAGUACAAUACAUUGAAAAAGGUAAACGAAGCGGGAAACAUAACCCUGGCAGCUUGGUCGAUCAGAGAAACACUGUUCACGUGACGGCUAGCUCCACCUAGUAAAUAAAUAAGGCCAAUCAAAGAAGACAAUCAACAAACUGAAGUCAUCUCACCUCUGCCGGUGGCCUCGCGCUGUCGCCGACGACGAAACUGAUCGUCCCCAAGAAAGCAUAACCACAGCUGCUUCCACCGGGGCUCCUUCGGUGGUUCCGUUUGGGUUGUCCGCUCCAUCGUCGAAAGGUGGGAAGUCGUUGGUUUGAACAUAUGCUGCGGAUCGUUGUAGAUGGGACAGAUGAGCGAAUUGCGACGCCGGGUGGCCAUCAGUCGUUGGGGAGAUUCUUGCAUCGAUGCCGUUUGAGAGCGCAUUCCACUGCCGCACCCUCCGUCACUCCCGGCUCCGAUAACGUUCAGCCCUAUUUCAACCACGUUAUCAAUGUCUUCCCAUUCAUCCUCAUCCAGAGGAAUCUCUCCGCUGCCGACCUGCAAGUAAAGGGAUUGCACGAGAUAUGCUUGAAUCAUGCAUUAUGAUUGACGGACGGGCUUAUCGCGACUGUUAUUAUGACGAAAACUGCAUGAACUACGACUCGUAGUGUUGAUAGUUAGGAAGGUCAAGUCCUUGUACACGUGCAAUGAUGUAGGACUAUAAAUAGUCAAGAGAAAUAUUUUCUCGCGUUCGAAGCGAUUUGAUGCAUUUUACUUUCCGCCUUUACAGGAUGAAGUUCGUACUACUUGCUGUUCUCAUCGUUGGAGUUCUGCUGUCUCUCGGCCAGACUGGCACGGUGCUCCCGAGUCGUAAACGAAACGGCGAUUCCAAGGAAAUAAUAUGCACCGGAGCGGGAUGUACUUUUCCAAAGAAGGAUUACGGCCCGGUGGUGACGCCGUUUGUUCCGACUGCUAAACCGCGGAUUCGGAUGAAUAUUGUUGCGCCAAUUGAAAGUUCAUGAUAAAAAAGUCCAACCAGAAAAGUGUCUGUUUAUGAUAGUGAAAUUGAAAUUUUCGAAACACUAGAACGCAGUUUGUAUAAACCAACAAAAAAUAAAUAAUUCUCUAUGAA